GCUGGCGGCAUGCCUAACACAUGCAAGUCGAACGAAGCCUUCGGGCUUAGUGGCGCACGGGUGCGUAACACGUGGGAAUCUGCCCUUCGGUUCGGAAUAACAGUUAGAAAUGACUGCUAAUACCGGAUGAUGACGAAAGUCCAAAGAUUUAUCGCCGAAGGAUGAGCCCGCGUAGGAUUAGGUAGUUGGUAGGGUAAUGGCCUACCAAGCCGACGAUCCUUAGCUGGUCUGAGAGGAUGAUCAGCCACACUGGGACUGAGACACGGCCCAGACUCCUACGGGAGGCAGCAGUGGGGAAUAUUGGACAAUGGGCGAAAGCCUGAUCCAGCCAUGCCGCGUGAGUGAUGACGGCCUUAGGGUUGUAAAGCUCUUUUACCCGGGAAGAUAAUGACGGUACCGGGAGAAUAAGCCCCGGCUAACUUCGUG
rnacentral:rRNA from 1 species